UACGUUGGGGGCAAGCGUUAUCCGGAAUUACUGGGUGUAAAGGGAGCGUAGACGGUAAUGUAAGUCUGGAGUGAAAGGCGGGGGCCCAACCCCCGGACUGCUCUGGAAACUAUGUUGCUAGAGUGCAGGAGAGGUAAGCGGAAUUCCUAGUGUAGCGGUGAAAUGCGUAGAUAUUAGGAGGAACACCAGUGGCGAAGGCGGCCUGCUGGACAGUAACUGACGUUGAGGCUCGAAAGCGUGGGGAGCAAACAGG
rnacentral:rRNA from 1 species